GAAAGAGAUAAAUGAACCUACCUAGGAGUUUUGGACUGUGUGGGUGGAGGAAGUUUUGCUGAGAAUUGAUGUGGGUUCCUCCUGUGUUCAGAGAAGCAGGACUUUGCACAUUCCUUGUGUAAUAAACAAGAUUACAUCAGAGAAAAUACCAGACUAAAUCAAUGUCUACUUCCAGCCGGAACAACCUCAAGGCAUGGUAUUUUGACUAGCUACUUAAGUCAAAAAGAGACAACAAUAAAAGCAGGCUUGGAACACAGAAUUUGAACAGAAGAAUAGCCAGUUCUGGAUCAAUAGCUGGUACGGCUCUGCCCCCACUGGAAAGUCUAGCACCACCAUCAGCGAAUAAGCAGCUUAAGUCUCUUAGUGCCCCAUGCUGACCUGCAAGGUGUGUAUGAGAG